GUGAAUUUAGUUUAAAGACAAAACAUUUACCUUGCACGUAAAAACUUCAAGUUUAACUCCUGAAAUCCACA
rnacentral:tRNA from 1 species